rnacentral:rRNA from 1 species
GCUAAGAAUCUUCCGCAAUGGGGGAAACCCUGACGGAGCGACGCCGCGUGGACGAUGGAGGCCGUAAGGUUGUAAAGUCCUUUUCCUGGUGAAGAAUGAGCGGGGGAGUGGAAAGCCCCCGUGAUGACGUUAGCCAGGGAAUAAGCCCCGGCCAAUUACGUGCCAGCAGCCGCGGUAAUACGUAUGGGGCAAGCGUUGUUCGGAGUUAUUGGGCGUAAAGGGCGUGUAGGCGGCUCAUCAAGUCUGGUGUGAAAUUGCAGGGCCCAACCCUGCAGGUGCGCUGGAAACUGGUGGGCUUGAGUUCCUGAGGGGAAGCUGGAAUUCCAGGUGUAGGAGUGAAAUCUGUAGAUAUCUGGAAGAACACCGGUGGCGAAGGCGAGCUUCUAUCAGAGGACUGACGCUGAGGCGCGAAAGCGUGGGGAGCAAACAGGAUUAGAUACCCCAGUAGUCC